GAGGGUAUAGCUCAGUGGUAGAGCACGUGCUUAGCAUGCAUGAGGUCCUGGGUUCAAUCCCCUGUCUCUCCA
rnacentral:tRNA from 1 species